rnacentral:lncRNA from 1 species
GUCAGUGCUCUGCAAUAUCUGCUCUGCCUGCUAUGCACACUCAGAGCUCUGUUGGACUCUUCCCGAUAGCUGCACGAGCCUCCCACGCAUUGAUGCCUCUGCUUAUGGCUCUCUGCCGCACGUUGCUGCUGCCUGAGACCCUUCUCGGCUGUACUAUCUAGUUCUAUUUCGCUACAGGGCCCUUUAAAGCCCUAAAACCCUAAGUGCAUUGGAGAAUCACUCUUGAUCGAACUCCAACAGGUCUUUGAUCAUCUGAUCAGCACCACUCGCAUCUCCAACCAUCGGAUCAUGUAAAUCUGUGCUCAGAUCAUGCCUCUUACCAUUGGAUCAUGCCCGAUCAAGCUUAUCAGACCC